UACCAAACACCCCAGCCUCGCCAAACACCCCAGCCUCACCAAACACCCGAGCCUUACCAGACACCCCAG
rnacentral:scRNA from 1 species